rnacentral:lncRNA from 1 species
CGCCGUGGGGCCCAGUUCCGGAGAGAGGCAGGCUCGAGCACCGUGGUGUUCGCCUCGUCUGUUUCAUCUCGGUUUAGUUUGUUUUAAGAAAACGUUUGUGGGUUAUCUUUAUGGAGUUUGCUUUCCCCGGGUGUCCUCUGCCGCCUGAGCUGUGAACUCCGGUGUGUCUGUAGGUGGCCGGCACUGGACCAAGGUUUCGAGUCGGUGAUGGUCCCACAGAAUCAGUGUUGUCUUUCCGUGGAACUUGCGUAGGUUGAGGUGUUGGCAAACCCAGUUUUGAACGGUCUGUGCUCUGUUGUGGUUGAAGUAGCGGUGGGCUUUUCUGGGUGACACCGUGGUUGUAGUGUAUUAAUGAAACUCUAGACACGUUCUCCCUGAGGAGUUCCAGGGACUUCCUUCCCAGGUGACGAAUUCAUUCCCAGGUGAUGAAAUUGUGUUCAUAACUGUCGUUAUGAGGCUCCUUGUUGCAGUUUUAUAUACGGUUUAUAUAAGAAUAAAUAGGAAAUAAACUGUUCAUCAAUGGAUGAUUGCACAGAGUUUUAAAAAAUUCCGUGGGAUACUGUAGAGCCAUUGAAAACUAUUCAAAGAACCACUAUCGACAUGAUAACAGUGUCCAUAUCGGGUUGGCUGAAAGAGCAAAUUACUAGACAGCAUACGAGUAUGCUGUUUGAGAAAGUAUUUACAAACAUUUGAGUGUUGUGGGGUUUCUAGUAAUUUUGACAUUUUCUAUGAGUUAUCAUUUGUAACGGGA